GACGUGGCCAAGCUAUCAAAAAACUGCAGCCUGUGGAGAAGUAGCAAGUAGGAGGGAGGUCAGGAGUGGGUGGCUAAAACCACCACAAGAUUUGAGAACGCAGAUGUAUUUAACUGGAAGGAGAAAAGGAAAGCACAGAGGUACCUGUCUGUUGUCUGAUUUGUGGGUAAGAAAAGUCCAUCAUGUGGAAACUGGACAGAGGCCUUAAGCAGAGAAGGAUCUUAAGAAGAACUGCAACAGUGACCUGGCUGGGUCUUUAAGGGGGAAAUCACCCUAUCCAAUGGGUCAUGAAAAUCAAUGUAUUAGUCCCUCUAUAGCAACUCUGCCUCUGGACUCACCACCUGCGACCAGAAACACUCCCUCCCAAAGCGAGGCGGCUUAGACCAUAACGAAAUUACCUGAUCUCUCUAUUCCUACUCCAACAGGUCAUGGGAAAAGAACAAAAUGAUCUAUUAAAAACUGCAGCUGUGCUAUAGUUAUGGGCAAUGUCACUAUGGGGAGAAACUAGCUGAUGGAUACUCGAGACCUCUCUGUACUAUUUUUAUCACUGCUUAGGAACCUAUAAUUAUUUCAAAAAAAAAAUUGAAAAACAAAACCAGCAGCUGUCUGAAAAAAUUAUCUUCAAGCUAAUCAUGAGAAACAAAAGUCAAAACUCACGACUGGAUAAUUGGUCCCAAUUAUGCUAGUUCUGUACCUAAUGCUUGGAGAAAGACAUUCAGUAAGGAAACCAAGAAAUGAUACACAAGUGUCUGGCCAAACCCCUCCCUUCUUGGUUUAACUAAUAUGGAAGAGUAACAUUUGUUAUCUUAGAAACUAAGAAGUAAACUAACAACUGUAAAUGGCAAAAUUAAGAUUUAUAAAUUCAUUUUAUCAUUCUAAGAUCUAGAAAAGAGACCCACCCUAUUUUAUCCAAGCUAAAACUCUGCUGAUUGUAAGACACUUCAUUAUUUUAUGUAUCAUUAGGAAAGAAACAAACUUUGCCAAUUAACUAUGACACAAUGCCUUAAAGACAGUCUUGGGUGACAGUCAAACUAGUUCCUCACUGCUUUGUUCUGGGGGAUUUGGCAAUUUCUUCUGCCUUGAGUUGCAUUGCUUGUCGUGUGAUCAGCAGUCCUUCUGAAUGUAACUCAGUAACAAAACAUAACACAGCUUCAAUCAUUUCUCCAACUAUGAACAUUUGCUUGACUAAUAUUAAAUUUAGUGCCUGGUUUUCUCAUGCCUUUCUGUAUGCCCAAUAGCAUUUUGUUUCAUCAUGAAUAAAAUCUUAUUUCAAUAAUGUAAUCAUAUUGAGAGCAUAUUAAAUGACAGGUA
rnacentral:lncRNA from 10 species